CCUCCACGACUCAGGUCUUGACAUCUGUCGCAAAGCUUAAGAGAUUAAGUGGAGGUUAGCGGCAAGACAGGUGGUGCAUGGUUGUCGUCAGCUCGUGUCGUGAGAUGUUGGGUUAAGUCCCGCAACGAGCGCAACCCUUGAUCUUAGUUGCCAGCAUUCAGGUUGGGCACUCUAAGGUGACUGCCGGUGACAAACCGGAGGAAGGUGGGGAUGACGUACAAAUCAUCAUCGCCCCUUAUCGACCGUGGGCUACACACGUGCUAACAAUGGACGGUAACGAAAGGGCAGACCCAACCCGCGGAGGGGGACGACCAACUCCAACGAAACGUUCUCAGUUCGGAUUGCAGGCUGCAACUCGCCUGCAUGAAGCCGGAAUCGCUAGUAAUCGUGGAUCAGCAUGCCACGGUGAAUACGUUCCCGGGCCUUGUACAC
rnacentral:rRNA from 1 species